rnacentral:rRNA from 1 species
UACGAAGGGGGCUAGCGUUGUCCGGAUUUACUGGGUGUAAAGGGUGCGCAGGCGGACUGGUAAGUCAGAGGUGAAAUCUCGUCGCUCAACGACGAAACUGCCUUUGAUACUAUCAGUCUUGAAUCCGGUAGAGAUCUGUGGAAUUCCGAGUGUAGCAGUGAAAUGUGUAGAUAUUCGGAAGAACACCAGUGGCGAAGGUAGCAGAUUGGGCCGGUAUUGACGCUCAGGCACGAAAGCAUGGGGAUCAAACAGG